rnacentral:tRNA from 1 species
UGGACGGUGCGCCGAGUGGCAAAGGCGAGCGGUCAUGCCGCGGGUCGGACAGGACCGGAUACCUGUCCCCCUUCGUGGGUUCGAGUCCCACCCGUCCAU